AGAAAACCUCAAUUUGAAUGAAUGUCGUAUUAAAUGUUCCAAUUCUUUUUUCUUAAUACAGUUCUGUUAGAUGUAGAUCGUCCAGCAACGUCAGACACAUACGCCAACAACUCUGGUUUAACCACCGCUGCAAAGAUUUUGGUCUCGUUACAGCAGGACUUAGAAUUAAGUCCACGUUGAACACACAAGAGGCUAUUCCGAUUGUCAAAUCCACCAGCAGACGACCGAUACGAGCGCGGAUUAACGACUGUCACAGACGAAUCAACUAUUACAUCAAGCAACAAGAACAAAGACUGAACAAAUUAAAGGAACUCAUACCAACGACAGUAAGUGACACUUUAUUUUCUACGAUAAAACUAUUGCAAAGAAACGAGCAAACAAGACAGAGACACAACACCAAAUAAAACAACAACAAAAACUUGAACGUUUAAAACGCAGUAAAACACGUACAAGAUAUAAACACGACGAUAACUGGGUGAGGAAUAUUUCUUUCCGCUCAUUAGACGAAACUGAAACUAAAACAUUCCAUAACACCUAAAAGAAUCCCGACUGAGACGAUGGUAUAUUAAGUGUCGAGGCUGUCGUAGCGCAUCAUAGAUACUUGUCAGAGACAACCAAAGACGAGAUCAGAAGCAAGGUAGCCUCCGCUUUACAAUCGUCCUCUACACGUGACAAAAACUUGACAAAGGACGAGCAACAAGCACUCAAACGACUAAAACACGACAAAACAUCGUCAUUUUACCAGGUUAGGUUAGGUUAGGUUAGGUUAAAAGGUUUUUAUUAUUCAUCUUCAGAUUAAAAAGUACGAUGAAUUUACAUUGAUUUUCUAUAUAUUUAUCAUACUAUACUAAGA